rnacentral:lncRNA from 1 species
GGUGAUAGGGGCCAGCCCAGUGGCGCAGCAGUUAAGUUCACACAUUCCGCUUCUCAGAGGCCCGGAGUUCGCCAGUUCAGAUCCCGGGUGCAAACAUGGCACCGCUUGCCAAAAGCCAUGCUGUGCCCCCCAGGUACAUAGUUGUAUAUUCUUCGUUGUGGCUCCUUCUAGUUGUGGCAUGUGGGAUGCUGCCUCAGCGUGGUUUGAUGAGCAGUGCCAUGUUUGCGCCCAGGAUUCGAACCAAUGAAACACUGGGCCGCCUGCAGCGGAGUGCACGAACUUAACCACUCGGCCACGGGGCCAGCCCCAUUUGGAAGGACCACUGGAAACUCUGCACAUUACAAGGGCAUCAUCAAGGUUACAUAGAUUCUGUUACAAGACAGAUCUGUCUUCUUGCAUCUUCAAAGAUGUUUAGUGUGCUAACGCUUCUUCCUUUCUUAAGAAAGCAACCAAUUAAAAAAAA